rnacentral:rRNA from 1 species
GACGAACGCUGGCGGCGUGCUUAACACAUGCAAGUCGAACGGAAAGGCCCUGCUUUUGUGGGGUGCUCGAGUGGCGAACGGGUGGGUAACACGUGAGUAACCUGCCCUUGACUUUGGGAUAACUUCAGGAAACUGGGGCUAAUACCGGAUAGGAGCUCCUGCUGCAUGGUGGGGGUUGGAGAGUUUCGGCGGUUGGGGAUGGACUCGCGGCUUAUCAGCUUGUUGGUGGGGUAGUGGCUUACCAAGGCUUUGACGGGUAGCCGGCCUGAGAGGGUGACCGGCCACAUUGGGACUGAGAUACGGCCCAGACUCCUACGGGAGGCAGCAGUGGGGAAUAUUGCACAAUGGGCGGAAGCCUGAUGCAGCAACGCCGCGUGCGGGAUGACGGCCUUCGGGUUGUAAACCGCUUUCGCCUGUGACGAAGCGUGAGUGACGGUAAUGGGUAAAGAAGCACCGGCUAACUACGUG